UGCCAGCCGCCGCGGUAAUACGGAGGGGGUUAGCGUUGUUCGGAAUUACUGGGCGUAAAGCGUACGUAGGCGGAUUAAUAAGUUAGAGGUGAAAUCCCAGGGCUCAACCCUGGAAUUGCAUUCGAAACUGGUAGGCUUGAGUGUGAGAGAGGGAAGUGGAAUUUCUGGUGUAGCGGUGAAAUGCGUAGAUAUCAGAAGGAACAUCAAUGGCGAAGGCAGCUUUCUGGACCAAUACUGACGCUGAGGUACGAAAGCGUGGGUAGCAAACAGGAUUAGAUA
rnacentral:rRNA from 1 species